GUCGAACGCUGGCGGCGUGCUUAACACAUGCAAGUCGAACGGAAAGGCCCUGCUUUUGUGGGGUGCUCGUGUGGCGAACGGGUGAGUAACACGUGAGUAACCUGCCCUUGACUUUGGGAUAACUUCAGGAAACUGGGGCUAAUACCGGAUAGGAGCUCCUGCUGCAUGGUGGGGGUUGGAAAGUUUCGGCGGUUGGGGAUGGACUCGCGGCUUAUCAGCUUGUUGGUGGGGUAGUGGCUUACCAAGGCUUUGACGGGUAGCCGGCCUGAGAGGGUGACCGGCCACAUUGGGACUGAGAUACGGCCCAGACUCCUACGGGAGGCAGCAGUGGGGAAUAUUGCACAAUGGGCGGAAGCCUGAUGCAGCAACGCCGCGUGCGGGAUGACGGCCUUCGGGUUGUAAACCGCUUUCGCCUGUGACGAAGCGUGAGUGACGGUAAUGGGUAAAGAAGCACCGGCUAACUACGUG
rnacentral:rRNA from 1 species